UACGGAGGGAGCUAGCGUUAUUCGGAAUUACUGGGCGUAAAGCGCACGUAGGCGGCUUUGUAAGUUAGAGGUGAAAGCCUGGAGCUCAACUCCAGAAUUGCCUUUAAGACUGCAUCGCUUGAAUCCAGGAGAGGUGAGUGGAAUUCCGAGUGUAGAGGUGAAAUUCGUAGAUAUUCGGAAGAACACCAGUGGCGAAGGCGGCUCACUGGACUGGUAUUGACGCUGAGGUGCGAAAGCCAGGGGAGCAAACGGG
rnacentral:rRNA from 1 species